rnacentral:rRNA from 1 species
UACGUAGGGGGGCAAGCGUUGUCCGGAAUCAUUGGGCGUAAAGAGCGUGUAGGCGGCCCGGUAAGUCCGCUGUGAAAGUCAAAGGCUCAACCUUUGAAUGUCAGCGGAUACUGCCGGGCUAGAGUCCGGAAGAGGCGAGUGGAAUUCCUGGUGUAGCGGUGGAAUGCGCAGAUAUCAGGAGGAACACCAACGGCGAAGGCAGCUCGCUAGGACGGUACUGACGCUGAGACGCGAAAGCGUGGGGAGCAAACAGG